GCAACCACAUUAUGCUGAAACACCAGUUUCCAUAUGAUCACUGAAGUUAAGCAACAUCAAGCCUAGUUACUACCUUGAUGAGUAACUGCUUGGGAAUACCA